rnacentral:lncRNA from 1 species
CUUGGAAUGGCUCUUGGGAUGUGACAUCAACCUUGGCGGGCGUGACAUCAACCUUGGCCUUAACCAACUGUUUGGAACUUGGACCAAGUUCAAGUUCAACUACAGGCCUUUUAAGCUUCUCUAACAAGCCCUGUAGCAUAGACAACCGACUUGUAAGUAGUACACCACUUAAGUUACUGACGCUCAUCCUUUUUCCAGUUUGGCAACCAAAUGGGAUGACACAAUCAUUUCUAUUUUGUCUUGAACUCGACAUCAAUGGAAUGUUGAGUAUCAUAGGUACCAAGUGCAUUCACUGUUUGCAAUUCCAAUCAAUGGAACAACUAGAAUAGAAUAUCUUACCAAAAGACAAAAGGUAGUGGAGGCACCACAAGAACAAAAACAAUGCUGAGAAUUUAGCAUCGUAGGCUUGCUUGGAAUAUCAUUAGCUCUGCUCACGUUUCCAUGGACUUGCUCCUCCUCACCAUUUCAGCAUCUGGACAAAGGCUAUGCAUUAAUACCCGACUCAUUCACAGAAUUCUACUAAACUCUUUUCGCUGCAUCUCUUGAUGAGUUUCUUCUCUAAUAGAUGGUAGACUACGGAGUACAGAGUAGAGAGAAUCCCCAACAGCAUUGGGAAAAAGUAAUAAAUUCAGUUAAUACAAUAUACAAUUCAAGACUAGGAUGAUUUGCAAAGAAAGACCCAUUCCAUGUUAUGUUUUACUUACAAAUUGUUCAGGAAGAAGAAGUCUUAUCUAAAGUUCACCUUCCCACAUGAAGCAUCAAAAGUCUGAUUUACCAUCUUCACAUUUACAGUUAGAAUAGUCAAGGAAGGAUCCUCAACUUUCUUUCACUACAGCAAGUAAAAAUCAUAUAACUAUUGAAACUCAGCAUCGUUGUACAAAGGUAAAACUCCAACAACCCUCCAAGGUACAUUGAACUAAAGAGGGUCGUGAUUUCGUCCGGGCCUACAGCUAGACUGUGUUGGAUGAUCACAUAUUCGUCAUGCUGAACUACAAGCUGCAGGCAAUCAGUGAGUUAAAUCGAUGAUUCAAGACUAAUGUGCUGGUCAAGAGCCUUUACCUCAAAAAGUGUCAAAAGACCCAUCAAAUGAACAAUUAGUCCGGCUAGCUGAGCCUUCCAAGGUUGAAUCAUUUUGCAUUUGAGUGGUCCAAAAUUGGAGCCUGCCUCCCUAAUUCCACCCAUUACUCAUUUUUACUCGAUUGAUAAUGGCUUGAAAGUCCUCUUUUUAUUGUCCAUACUAUUACACAUUUCUUUCUUCACACUUUCGACAUUUGAUAUGAAUUUUCCCACUAGACGAUUCCGCAUGCAUGCAUAUUGGUCGGGUCAGAUUGGGUUGGUUGGAUAUUCUUCGAAAGCACUUCAUCAUAUUUAAACAUAGCUUGAUUUAGAUACUUUUUAAUAUAAUUAUUAUUAUUAUACAUUUAAUGAUUCAUUAAUCAAAUUGUGGAAAAUUAACAAAACUAAAAACUCGAUCAAUGUGACAUAGUUUUCAUUGCUCACAUAUGGGUUAGUUGAGAUGACCGACUAACAAGCAUUUACUUAAUUAAAAUCUAGUACGUAAUUUUUUUCACUUUUAUCCAUCUUUGUUAAAAUUUCUAAUUAUUUUAUGUACUUCCCUUCUAUUUUACCAACUUUACAAAAUCAUUAAUUAAGUUAAUUUUUAUUUAUUUAUUUAUAAAAUAAAUGAUGCUCAUCAUAUAGUAUAGAAUAUGAUGACAAGAAAAAAUACUAUUGCUUAUAGGAUAGAGGAAGGAGCUGCCCCAUAGUCAACGUUGCUAUGGGUUAGUACUACUACCAUAUAGUAUAGAAUAUAUACUCACCAAAAAACAAUUAAACAUUUUGUUUUUAUUAUUAAUUACUAUUUUCAUACACUUCCCUCUCUUUGCUCAUUGCCAGUCUAUAUAAAGAGUGGCCACCUCCCUCUCUUCUCAUCAACUCCUGAACCUCUCUUCGCCUUCAUCUUUCACAGAAAAAGUUCAGGUUCAUACUUGUAAAAUUUUCUCUCUUUUUCUAUCAAAAUGAUUAUGUAUAUAUAUUGCUUCUUUAGAAUUCUGUGCAAAAACUAACUUUCUGGGUAGGUUUGUUUUUGAAUUAUAACAUGCAGGCUUCCUUUUUAUUUUUUUAACCUGGAAAAAUCAGUUUUAUCCCUUCUCCUUCCGUUUGUUCUUCUGCUUCUGCAAUUGUUUGCAUGUCUUCUCUGUGAAAUUGGAGUUGGUCUUUUUUUAAAUGAUGGGAAACAAUGAUCUCGAUAUUUCUAUGAUUGAUAGUAUAUGGUUAACGGUUACUAAUGGUACUGCAUGAGCUGAAGUGAUGAAGAUGUUUAUAUAUAAAAACAAAUAUGCAGUAUGUGGAAGCUCAAAGUUGCAGAAGGGCAUGGUCCAUGGCUGUACAGCCUCAACAACUAUGUUGGCAGGCAGAUCUGGGAGUUCGACCCUGAAGCUGGGACCCCAGAAGAGCGAGAAGAGGUCAGGAAAGUCCAGGAGAAUUUCACAAAGAAUCGGUUUCGCUACAAACCUAAUGGGGAUCUCCUAAUGAGGAUGCAGGUAUACGCUCAACAUGGUAUUUUGUUUCUGAGGUUGAUGGAGUGAUCACAAUAAAAUUUAAUAUUAAUUAAAGGGCCUUCAUGGAAAUUUAUAUAUAUAUAUGGGUUUUCAACUAAAAUUUAUUCUGGGUCUUCGCCUAAAUUCAUUAAGUUUCUAGUUGGAUGGGAAGAUGCAGCUAAGGGUGGUCGUGAGAAGACCGUACUUGCCUUUUGGCAACCACUAGUAAUUAGUAGUCAUGCUUGGAUAAUCAUUUUUUGAAAAUUACGUUACACGCCAAGGAAAAAGAUAUUUUAGGUAAAGGACAGUGACACUUGGACAAUGAUAUGACGAAACCGCACUUCUUCGAACUAAAUUUUUUUUAUAUAUAUAUUUAAUACAACUAAUCACUUUUUAGUAAAUAUUAUUUUACUUGCUGGGAAAGUAUAUAAUAAAAAAAAUGUGGUAAAAGUGAUACUUUAUAUAGUAUCAUCCAUUUGCAAACGGGUUAAUUUUCCAAAAUAGUAAAAUAUAACACCUUGAUAACUAUUUUCAAGUUCUAAAAAAUAAUUUUUUAUUUAUUAAAUUGUUGUUGAGAAUAAAAAACUAUUUUAAAAAACAUUUUUCAAACGGACCUUAACUUGAUUGGUAACUGUUUUUACUUUUUAGAACCAUUUUUGAAAACUGCUUUAUGAUAUUUUGUAGAAUAAAAGUCAAUUUAAGAAUGUGAAAUGUUUUUAAUCCAUUUUUAAUAUUUUUAAAUAAGUUUCAAAAUUUAUUUUUAUAUUUAAUGCUUUAUUUUUAAUCAUUUUACAUAUUUAUAUAAUUAUUUUCUAAAACAAUCAUAAAUAAAUAAAUAAAAUAAAAUAAUAUAAAACAAUUAAUAGAUAUUAUUUGAAUGCGUUCUUAAAAAUAAAUUACUUUUGAAAACCAUUUUCAAUUUUGCAAGGAAGUUUGAAUUCUGACAACAUAAUCCCAUCAUUCCAUUGUCCAACUUAAAAAUCACAGCUUAUCAAGGAAAACCAAAUAGAUUUGAGCAUACCACCAGUGAGGUUGGGAGAAAAGGAGGAAGUAACAUAUGAAGCAGUGACAACUGCAGUGAGGAAAGCUGUGAGGCUGAAUAGAGCCAUCCAGGCCAAGGAUGGUCACUGGCCUGCUGAGAACGCUGGUCCUUUGUUUUUCACACCUCCACUGGUAUAUUUUCUCACCAACCAAUUCUAAGCUGCCCAUUUUUUAAGAAGAAAAAAAAUUAUUGAAUUUAGUUUCUGAAUUAACUAACUCUUAAAAGUGUUACUCCAAAUUAAUAUGCAGAUCAUGGUGCUAUACUUCACUGGAACCCUAAAUAUUGCUCUAACACCAGAACACAAAGUGGAGCUUCUUCGCUACAUUACUAACCAUCAAGUACUAAUCAAACUCAUCUCAUCAUCUUUAAUUGGCUCACAAUAUUUUCAUCUCCUAUUUAGAGAGUAAUGGAAUGUGUUGGAUGAUUAGAAUGAAGAUGGUGGGUGGGGAUUCCAUAUCGAGGGGCACAGCACAAUGCUUGGAACAACCCUCAGCUACAUCUCCAUGCGUAUACUAGGAGUAGGACCUGAUGACAAGGCUGUGGCAGCAGGAAGGAAAUGGAUUCUCGAUCGUGGCGGUGCAACCUAUUCACCAUCUUGGGGAAAGUGUUAUCUCUCGGUGAGUUCAUAAGUUGGUGAUCUUCUAUUGGUUUGGAAAAGAGAAUUUCCAUUGCUAUUGGCUUAAUUGAUUUUUGUGUGAUUUAAGGUGUUUGGACUGUAUGAAUGGUCUGGCUGCAACCCUUUGCCACCAGAGUUCUGGCUUUUCCCUUCAUUUUUGCCCAUGCAUCCAGGUAAGCAAUAUGUAGUACCUGUAUCUCAGUUAGGCUUCAUGGUUUUAUUUUAUGAACUUGUUUUCAAAGGAAAUGUUUGUGUUGCAGAUAAAAUGUGGUGCUACUGUCGAACAGUUUACAUGCCUAUGUCAUAUUUAUACGGCACAAGAUUUCAGGCACCCAUUACUGAUCUGGUUCUACAACUGAGGGAAGAAAUGCACACUAAACCAUACCAUGAAAUCAAUUGGGUUAAAGCACGGCUUUUAUGCGCAAAGGUUGGUUGAUUGUAGAGAAAGUGGUUUGGGAUUUUGCAGUUUCUAGUUUUGGUUUUAUAAUGAGAUUCUCUGUAUAUUUGAAGUGCAGUUUUUGUGAAAAGAGGCAUGCUAAAUCCAUCCCCACCCCUAACCUUGUGCUAAAAUAUUGAACGGAUACAGGAGGAUUACUACUACCCGCAUUCCCUCAUACAAGAUGUGCUUUGGGGUGGGCUUUAUCACUUUGGUGAGCUGAUUUUGAAACAUUGGCCUGUCUCCAAAAUUAGAGAGAGGGCUGUAAAGAAAGCAAUUGAUAUCAUUCACUGGGAAGAUGAGAACAGUAGAUAUCUAACUCCUGGAUGUGUGGAGAAGGUAAGUGAGAGUGUGAGAGGAGACACGGAAUAUAUUAGAAAGAAAGUUGGAAUGCAUUGGGUUAAUUGAAGGUUUAGACAUUGUUCUUAUAUGGGGGCAACAUUAAUUUCUGCAGGCUUUCCACAUGAUGGCUGUUUGGGCAGAGAAUCCAGACUCAAAUUCAGAUGCUUUCAAGCAUCACCUUGCCCGAAUUCCCGACUACUUAUGGAUGGCAGAGGAUGGAAUGAAAGUGCAGGUUUCUUACAACACCCAACCAUUUUGGUUCUACUCGAUUAUCACCUCCAAAUUCACCAUCCAUAAUGCUGACUUGUUGCUGUAAUUGCAGAGUUUUGGGAGUCAGCUAUGGGACACUUCUCUUUGCAUUCAAGCCAUCCUGGAAAGUGGUAUGGUUGAAGAAUACGGGACUACUCUCAAGAAAGGUCACGACUACGUUAAAUUAUCACAGGUUUCUUACCUAUUCACUCCCAAAACCUCUACCACUACCAUGCUCCGUAUCUUCAUUAAGGUUACAGCCAUUAUCAUACCAAAUUUAAAUUGUAGUGUCAAGAAAAUCCAUCUGGUGAUUACCGGAGUAGGUAUCGUCACUUUUCAAAAGGAGCCUGGACUUUCUCUGAUCGCGAUCAUGGUUGGCAAGUCUCUUGACUGCACAUCGGAAGCAUUGAGGGUAGGAUAUAUAACUUUAUUCCGAUCAUAUACUGCAGUAAUUAACACAGAAAUUCCUCAUGUAAAUCCCUUUUUCUUUUUCCACAGGUCUUGCUGUUACUAUCACAAUUUCCAGAAGAACUUGUCGGCGAAAAGGCCGAACCUCAGCGCUUAUUUGAUGCUGUCAAUUUCCUCUUCUCCUUGCAAGUACGUACACAUUUUGUUUCACUUGUGACACUCAAAAUUGUUGCCAGAUUAAUAUUCGUACUUUGUAAGUUCACAAAGUCUCUAUCCAUGGCCCCCUUUUUUUUCUUUUCUUUUUUAAAUUUUCCAAAGGGCAAAAGUGGUGGUUUGGCUGUUUGGGAGCCAGCAGGAGCUGAAGAAUGGUUGGAGGUAAUUUCUUUCAAUCACAAAUAGAUGUAGUUGUUACCAAAGUUUUGAGAACUCAGUGAAUGCAGUUGAGUAUACAACUAACAGAUUCUUCGUUUUGAUUAACUUUAUUUCUCAGAAGUUGAAUCCUUCAGAACUUUUCGCCAACAUAGUCACUGAGCAUGAGUAAGUUGUUAUUCAUCUAUUUCAUUUCCAUUUCUAUGUCCAUGUCCAUUUUCACAUCAUAUACACUCAUUAAUGUUACCUAUUUGGCGGUUUAGGUAUGUGGAAUGUACAUCAUCAGCUAUCCAGACUCUACUGUUGUUCAAGAAAUUGUAUCCUAAUCAUAGAAGGAAAGAAGUAGACAACUUCAUUGAAAAGGCAACCUGUUAUGUUGAGAAUGUUCAGAGGCCGGAUGGAUCUUGGUAUGCAUCUCUUUCGCUUUUAGCUACUUAGUUGAGGAGAUGGAAAUGGAUGAUGGUUUUGAGUUUGAAGUAAAACUUCUCAUGUGAAACAAUAUUGGCAGGUAUGGUGGCUGGGGAGUUUGCUUCACCUAUGCUGCAUGGUUUGCAUUAUCAGGGUUAGCUGCUGUUGGGAAAACAUACUCAAAUAGCAAAACCGUUCAUAAAGGUGUCGAUUUUUUGCUUUCAAAGCAGAAGGCAAAUGGUGGUUGGGGAGAGAGCUAUCUUUCAUGCCCAUAUAUAGUAAUUCUCAUUCUAACUUAAUGUCAUUGCUUGGAAAAUAUGGGUUGGAGUUUUUACUCAUCAGUUCAAUCUUCAUUGUACAGGUGUAUGUACACUUAGAGGAGGAUCGCACCAAUUUGGUACAAACUGCAUGGUGUUUGAUGGGUCUAAUUGAAGCCGGCCAGGUUACUCUCAAAUUUGAUUUGUUUAAUGGUCACUUCUAAUAAAUGAUAAUGAAAUUCAAAUAUAAUUCGAUAGAAAUUCCCACUUUCCCCAAAUAAUUUGCAAUAACUAAAAUUUUUCAUUUUUUCUUUUAAACUAGGUCGAGAGAGAUCCAACCCCUCUACACAAAGCAGCUAAGCUACUAAUUAACUCACAAUUGGACAAUGGGGAUUUCCCUCAAGAGGUAAUUAUCACUAAGAUCUUGGUUGGUUAUAAGUUAUUAACCAAUCAAAACUGUUUUCACAGGCAUUUUUUCCUUCUUUGUAUUUCGAUGCAUCUUAACCUUGAAAUAAUGAUCACAGGAAAUCACCGGAGUCUACAUGAAUAACUGUAUGCUACACUAUGCGAGCUAUAGAAACAUUUUCCCGACAUGGGCUCUUGGAAUGUACCGUAGACGUGUUCUGAAGCCUCCCCAGAAGCUCUAAGCACUAAGCUCAAGUAGAAAGUUUUCCUCCAUAUGCUCUCUUCUUUUUCUUUCUUUAAACCAAAACAAGGCAUUUUGUCAUAUGUGAAUGUGCUCAUCUUACAUGUACAAGUCAAUACAAGCCCAAUAGUAAUAUAAAAAUGGAAGUCUUCAGCAUCUUCUGUCAUUUGACAACUUUCAUCCUCGUGUAUACUCAAAGUUAUUAUGGAAGACACUUCUUUCGAGAACAAAAUGCGAGCCACGCUUCAACCUUGGCCUAAACCAACAGAUUUGGGACUUGGACUAAGUUCAAGUUCAACUACAGGCCUUUUAAGCUUCUCUAAUAAGCCCUAUGGCAUAAACGGCGUACUUGUAAAUAGUACACCACUGAAGUUACUGACGCCCAUCCUUUUGCCAGUUUGGCAACCCAAUGGGAAGACACAAUCAUUUCUAUUUUGUUUUGAACUCGACAUCAAUGGAAUGUUGAGUACCAUAGGUUCCAAGACCAUUAGUCUGCAAUUCCAAUUAAUGGUACAACUGAAAUAUCUUAUCAAAAGACAAAAGAUAGUGGAGGCACCACAAGAACAAAACCAAUGCUGAGAAUUUA